GCCUGUUGGCAUGCUUGUAGUUGGAGUAUAGAUGCCUGCAUGGUGGAGGUGUCUUGGCAGAGCUCUUUAAUAUCUGCUUCAGUUACCUCCAUUCUGCCUGUUAGUUGUUGCAUGGAUGAUUUUAGGAUGGGCAGGUCAGCAGUGAGGAGGCUUUGAAUGUCCUGUAGCAUAGUGUAUAGGAUUUGGAGGUCCUGUUUGGUUGCAGGUUCAGAGGUACCUGCUGAUGCUGUGGGCUGUUGCUGUGUGUCCUCCGCUGGGCUCUGUAGCUGAGAUGUUGCAGGUGCAGCUGUGUGGGGAGUCCUUGGUGAAGUUGGGUAUUUGGCGGCAGCCAUCUUGACUGAGGUGUGCCGCUGGAGCAUAGCUCCGAUAUCCCUCUGUUCGGUGCAUUACCGGGUGUAGGUUUCUGGUUUCUGCGCCCCAUGGAUGUAUUGGCAGGUGUUGUAUGGGUCGACCACAGCUCUGCUGCGUCUCCCGCGAGGUCCCCGCUCCAGAGAUACUCGUGGUCGCGGUAGGUGGGUUUGUGGUAGGCCACGGUCCUCCGUCUUGCCUUUGGGUGCUUCGGGGAGUACUGGAAGGGCAUCAGGGGAUUCACUGGUGUGUCCCCAGGCUGUAUCUAGUGCUUGCAGGGUCGGAUGGUAGCUAGUCACCGGGAUAACACUUAG